rnacentral:rRNA from 1 species
CCUACGGGAGGCAGCAGUGGGGAAUAUUGGGCAAUGGGCGCAAGCCUGACCCAGCAACGCCGCGUGAAGGAAGAAGGCUUUCGGGUUGUAAACCUCUUUUUAGAGGGAAGAGCAGAAGACGGUACCUCUUGAAUAAGCUACGGCUAACUACGUGCCAGCAGCCGCGGUAAUACGUAGGUGGCAAGCGUUGUCCGGAUUUACUGGGGGUAAAGGGCGUGCAGGCGGGAAGACAAGUCAGAUGUGAAAUCCCGCGGCUCAAACGCGGAACUGCAUUUGAAACUGUUUUUCUUGAGUACCGGAGAGGUCAUCGGAAUUCCUUGUGUAGCGGUGAAAUGCGUAGAUAUAAGGAAGAACACCAGUGGCGAAGGCGGAUGACUGGACGGCAACUGACGGUGAGGCGCGAAAGCGUGGGGAGCAAACAGGAUAAGAUACCCCGGUAGUC